rnacentral:rRNA from 1 species
GGGCACGGGUGAGUAACACGUGGGUAAUCUGCCCUGGAGUGGGGAAUAACACACGGGAAACCGGUGCUAAUACCGCAUACGAUCACAGAGUCUGCGGAUUUUGUGAUGAAAGGAGCAAUUCGCUCUAGGAGGAGCCCGCGGCUGAUUAGCUAGUUGGUGAGGUAACGGCUCACCA